rnacentral:rRNA from 1 species
GACGAACGCUGGCGGCGUGCUUAACACAUGCAAGUCGAACGGAAAGGCCCUGCUUUUGUGGGGUGCUCGAGUGGCGAACGGGUGAGUAACACGUGAGUAACCUGCCCUUGACUUUGGGAUAACUUCAGGAAACUGGGGCUAAUACCGUAUAGGAGCUCCUGCUGCAUGGUGGGGGUUGGAAAGUUUCGGCGGUUGGGGAUGGACUCGCGGCUUAUCAGCUUGUUGGUGGGGUAGUGGCUUACCAAGGCUUUGACGGGUAGCCGGCCUGAGAGGGUGACCGGCCACAUUGGGACUGAGAUACGGCGCAGACUCCUACGGGAGGCAGCAGUGGGGAAUAUUGCACAAUGGGCGGAAGCCUGAUGCAGCAACGCCGCGUGCGGGAUGACGGCCUUCGGGUUGUAAACCGCUUUCGCCUGUGACGAAGCGUGAGUGACGGUAAUGGGUAAAGAAGCACCGGCUAACUACGUG